UGCCAGCCGCCGCGGUAAUACGGAGGGUGUAAGCGUUAUCCGGAUUUAUUGGGUUUAAAGGGUACGUAGGCGGUAAUAUAAGUCAGUGGUGAAAUCCUGCAGCUCAACUGUAGAACUGCCAUUGAAACUGUAUUACUUGAGUAUACUUGAGGUAGGCGGAAUGAGUAGUGUAGCGGUGAAAUGCUUAGAUAUUACUCAGAACACCGAUUGCGAAGGCAGCUUACUAAGGUAUAACUGACGCUGAUGUACGAAAGCGUGGGGAGCGAACAGGAUUAGAUA
rnacentral:rRNA from 1 species